AUACGUAGGUGGCAAGCGUUGUCCGGAAUUAUUGGGCGUAAAGCGCGCGCAGGCGGUCCUUUAAGUCUGAUGUGAAAGCCCACGGCUCAACCGUGGAGGGUCAUUGGAAACUGGGGGACUUGAGUGCAGAAGAGGAAAGUGGAAUUCCAAGUGUAGCGGUGAAAUGCGUAGAGAUUUGGAGGAACACCAGUGGCGAAGGCGACUUUCUGGUCUGUAACUGACGCUGAGGCGCGAAAGCGUGGGGAGCAAACAGGAUUAGAUACCCUGGUAGUCCACGCCGUAAACGAUGAGUGCUAAGUGUUAGGGGGUUUCCGCCCCUUAGUGCUGCAGCUAACGCAUUAAGCACUCCGCCUGGGGAGUACGGUCGCAAGACUAAAACUCAAAUGAAUUGACGGGG
rnacentral:rRNA from 1 species